rnacentral:rRNA from 1 species
AACGAACGCUGGCGGCAUGCCUAACACAUGCAAGUCGAACGAGACCUUCGGGUCUAGUGGCGCACGGGUGCGUAACGCGUGGGAACCUGCCCUUAGGUUCGGAAUAACUCCCCGAAAGGGGUGCUAAUACCGGAUAAUGUCUUCGGACCAAAGAUUUAUCACCUUUGGAUGGGCCCGCGUUGGAUUAGCUAGUUGGUAGGGUAAAAGCCUACCAAGGCGACGAUCCAUAGCUGGUCUGAGAGGAUGAUCAGCCACACUGGGACUGAGACACGGCCCAGACUCCGACGGGAGGCAGCAGUGGGGAAUAUUGGACGAUGGGCGAAAGCCUGAUCCAGCAAUGCCGCGUGAGUGAUGAAGGCCUUAGGGUUGUAAAGCUCUUUUACCCGGGAUGAUAAUGACAGUACCGGGAGAAUAAGCUCCGGCUAACUCCGUG